rnacentral:tRNA from 1 species
GCGGGUGUAGUUCAGCGGUAGAGCAUCUGCUUCCCAAGCAGACUGUCGUCGGUUCGAAUCCGAUCACCCGCU